UUGAACGCUGGCGGCAGGCCUAACACAUGCAAGUCGAACGGUAACAGGAAGCAGCUUGCUGCUUCGCUGACGAGUGGCGGACGGGUGAGUAAUGUCUGGGAAACUGCCUGAUGGAGGGGGAUAACUACUGGAAACGGUAGCUAAUACCGCAUAACGUCGCAAGACCAAAGAGGGGGACCUUCGGGCCUCUUGCCAUCGGAUGUGCCCAGAUGGGAUUAGCUAGUAGGUGGGGUAACGGCUCACCUAGGCGACGAUCCCUAGCUGGUCUGAGAGGAUGACCAGCCACACUGGAACUGAGACACGGUCCAGACUCCUACGGGAGGCAGCAGUGGGGAAUAUUGCACAAUGGGCGCAAGCCUGAUGCAGCCAUGCCGCGUGUAUGAAGAAGGCCUUCGGGUUGUAAAGUACUUUCAGCGGGGAGGAAGGGAGUAAAGUUAAUACCUUUGCUCAUUGACGUUACCCGCAGAAGAAGCACCGGCUAACUCCGUGCCAGCAGCCGCGGUAAUACGGGGGGUGCAAGCGUUAAUCGGAAUUACUGGGCGUAAAGCGCACGCAGGCGGUUUGUUAAGUCAGAUGUGAAAUCCCCGGGCUCAACCUGGGAACUGCAUCUGAUACUGGCAAGCUUGAGUCUCGUAGAGGGGGGUAGAAUUCCAGGUGUAGCGGUGAAAUGCGUAGAGAUCUGGAGGAAUACCGGUGGCGAAGGCGGCCCCCUGGACGAAGACUGACGCUCAGGUGCGAAAGCGUGGGGAGCAAACAGGAUUAGAUACCCUGGUAGUCCACGCCGUAAACGAUGUCGACUUGGAGGUUGUGCCCUUGAGGCGUGGCUUCCGGAGCUAACGCGUUAAGUCGACCGCCUGGGGAGUACGGCCGCAAGGUUAAAACUCAAAUGAAUUGACGGGGGCCCGCACAAGCGGUGGAGCAUGUGGUUUAAUUCGAUGCAACGCGAAGAACCUUACCUGGUCUUGACAUCCACGGAAGUUUUCAGAGAUGAGAAUGUGCCUUCGGGAACCGUGAGACAGGUGCUGCAUGGCUGUCGUCAGCUCGUGUUGUGAAAUGUUGGGUUAAGUCCCGCAACGAGCGCAACCCUUAUCCUUUGUUGCCAGCGGUCCGGCCGGGAACUCAAAGGAGACUGCCAGUGAUAAACUGGAGGAAGGUGGGGAUGACGUCAAGUCAUCAUGGCCCUUACGACCAGGGCUACACACGUGCUACAAUGGCGCAUACAAAGAGAAGCGACCUCGCGAGAGCAAGCGGACCUCAUAAAGUGCGUCGUAGUCCGGAUUGGAGUCUGCAACUCGACUCCAUGAAGUCGGAAUCGCUAGUAAUCGUGGAUCAGAAUGCCACGGUGAAUACGUUCCCGGGCCUUGUACACACCGCCCGUCACACCAUGGGAGUGGGUUGCAAAAGAAGUAGGUAGCUUAACCUUCGGGAGGGCGCUUACCACUUUGUGAUUCAUGACUGGGGUG
rnacentral:rRNA from 1 species